AGUGGAAUUGCUAGACCAUUUGGUAACUUGGUGUUUAAGUUUUUUAAGGAACUGCCAUACUAUUUGCCACAAUGGCCACCCCACAUUGCAUUCCCUCCAGCAAU
rnacentral:pre_miRNA from 1 species